GGAUCCAGACUUUGAUUAUGGCUCAGGACGAACGCUGGCGGCGCGCCUAACACAUGCAAGUCGAGCGGGAAGCUUUUUAAGGAUUCUUCGGAUGAAUUAAAAAGUGGAGAGCGGCGGACGAGUGAGUAACGCGUGAGAAACCUGCCCUAUACAGGGGGAUAGCCAUUGGAAACGAUGAUUAAUACCCCAUAUGACCACAGUAUCGCAUGAUACAGCGGUGAAAACUCCGGUGGUAUAGGAUGGUCUCGCGUCUGAUUAGCUAGUUGGUGGGGUAACGGCCUACCAAGGCGACGAUCAGUAGCCGGCCUGAGAGGGUGACCGGCCACACUGGAACUGAGACACGGUCCAGACUCCUACGGGAGGCAGCAGUGGGGAAUAUUGCACAACGGGCGAAAGCCUGAUGCAGCGACGCCGCGUGAACGAUGAAGGCUUUCGAGUCGUAAAGUUCUGUUCUUGGGGAAGAUAACGACGGUACCCAAGGAGAAAGCACCGGCUAAAUACGUGCCAGC
rnacentral:rRNA from 1 species